UUUUCAGUGUCGCAGCGAAAGCGAUAAACACACCGCCUGGGGAGUACGACCGCAAGGUUAAAACUCAAAUGAAUUGACGGGGACCCGCACAAGUAGUGGAGCAUGUGGUUUAAUUCGAAGAUACGCGCAGAACCUUACCAACACUUGACAUGUUCGUCGCGACUUUAAGAGAUUAAAGUUUUCGGUUCGGCCGGACGAAACACAGGUGCUGCAUGGCUGUCGUCAGCUCGUGUCGUGAGAUGUUGGGUUAAGUCCCGCAACGAGCGCAACCCUCACUUUUAGUUGCCAUCAUUAAGUUGGGCACUCUGAAAGAACUGCCAGUGAUAAGCUGGAGGAAGGUGGGGAUGACGUCAAGUCCUCAUGGCCCUUACGUGUUGGGCUACACACGUGCUACAAUGGUAUCUACAACAGGAAGCAAAACAGCGAUGUUAAGCAAAUCCUUAAAAGAUACCUCAGUUCGGAUUGCACUCUGCAACUCGAGUGCAUGAAGCUGGAAUUACUAGUAAUCGUGGAUCAGCGUGCCACGGUGAAUGCGUUCCCGGGUCUUGUACACACCGCCCGUCACACCAUGGGAGUUGGUUCUACCUUAAGGCAAGGUUUCAAACCCUUGACCACGGUAUAGUCAGCGACUGGGGUGAAGUCGUAACAAGGUAGCCGUAGGGGAACCUGCGGCUGGAUUACCUCCUU
rnacentral:rRNA from 1 species